rnacentral:rRNA from 1 species
UACGGAGGGAGCUAGCGUUAAUCGGAAUUACUGGGCGUAAAGGGCGCGUAGGCGGCCGUGUAAGUCUUGGGUGAAAUCCCUCAGCUCAACUGAGGAACUGCCUCGGAUACUGCAUGCUUGAGGCCGGGGAGAGGGUAGUGGAAUUCCCAGUGUAGCGGUGAAAUGCGCAGAUAUCAGGAGGAACACCGGUGGCGAAGGCGGGUCUCUGGGCCGUAACUGACGCUGAGGAGCGAAAGCAUGGGGGAGCGAACAGG